GGGUUAGGGUAAGGUAUAGAAAAGGUUAAGUUUAGGUAUGGGUUUUGGGAUGGUUAAGGUUAGGGUUAGGGUUAGGGUAAGGUAUAGAAAAGGUUAAGUUUAGGUAUGGGUUUUGGGAUGGUUAAGGUUAGGGUUAGGGUUAGGGUUAGGGUUAGGGUAAGGUAUAGAAAAGGUUAAGUUUAGGUAGGUCUGUCAACUCAACUUAGGAUCAGGCAAAGCCCUUGAGUUGCGUCCCUUAUGCAGGUCCGGUCCUCGGUUGGUUGCCAUGUGUCCAUGUCGAGUGGUAUGAUCAUGAUGUCCAGGUCCGCUAUGUCAACGGAGGUGGAAAGCAUAGUGCAACCUAGGAGUUUUACUCCCUUACGGAUCCUUCUUCUUUAGCUCCAUGUUGUCUAUGUAUCCACUUCAGUGUUCGUCAGUCUUUGGUCCUGGAUGUUUUCAAUCAUGUGUAUGAUUGGGAAUUAUUCCCUUCCAGGAUCCUAAUUCCAAAUCAACCCAUGUCUAGUCGAAUCCAGCUGGUCUGUAUGGGUAUACUCGGCGUAGGAUCAGGCAAAACCAUCGAGUUGCGUACCUUGUGCAGGUCCGGACCUCAGUCGGUUGCCAU